GACGAACGCUGGCGGCGUGCUUAACACAUGCCAGUCGAACGGAAAGGCCCUGCUUUUGUGGGGGGCUCGAGUGGCGAACGGGUGAGUAACACGUGAGUAACCUGCCCUUGACUUUGGGAUAACUUCAGGAAACUGGGGCUAAUACCGGAUAGGAGCGCCUGCUGCAUGGUGGGGGUUGGAAAGUUUCGGCGGUUGGGGAUGGACUCGCGGCUUAUCAGCUUGUUGGUGGGGUAGUGGCUUACCAAGGCUUUGACGGGUAGCCGGCCUGAGAGGGUGACCGGCCACAUUGGGACUGAGAUACGGCCCAGACUCCUACGGGAGGCAGCAGUGGGGAAUAUUGCACAAUGGGCGGAAGCCUGAUGCAGCAACGCCGCGUGCGGGAUGACGGCCUUCGGGUUGUAAACCGCUUUCGCCUGUGACGAAGCGUGAGUGACGGUAAUGGGUAAAGAAGCACCGGCUAACUACGUG
rnacentral:rRNA from 1 species